CGUCACUCCUGCUUCAAGCAUUCCAAGCCGGUCAUCCUUCCAUCCAUCUCACAAUUGCCAUGUUGAAUAUUUACAAGCCAGGAUAAACAGGAUAUCUUUGCUGGAUUUCUUCACAGUUGGAUUCCUUCAAAGUCAGACUCCUGCUUCAAGCAUUCCAAGCCGGUCAUCCUUCCAUCCAUCUCACAAUUGCCAUGUUGAAUAUUUACAAGCCAGGAUAAACAGGAUAUCUUUGCUGGAUUUCUUCACAGUUGGAUUUCUUCAAAGUCAGACUUUUUCAAGCAUUCCAAGACAGUCAUCCUUCCAUCUCACAAUUGCCAUGUUGAAUAUUUACAAGCCAGGAUAAACAGGAUAUCUUUGCUGGAUGUCUUCACAGUUGGAUUUCUUCAAAGUCAGACUCCUUCAAGCAUUCCAAGACAGUCAUCCUUCCAUCUCACAAUUGCCAUGUUGAAUAUUUACAAGCCAGGAUAAACAGGUAAGUCUCUAAAAAGAAGUGUUAGGAGACUGACCUUCCAGAGUGUUACUGAUGUAGUACUAAUGUGUCGCUUUAUUUACAGGAUAUCUGUGCUGGAUUUCUUUGUCAAGUCAGAUUUCUUUGUCAAGUCAGAUUCCUUCUUCAAGUCAAGGUCGGAUUUCUUCUUCAAGUCAAGGUCGGAUUUCUUCUUCAAGUCACCCAUUCUCACAAGCAUCAUCUUACACAGGAUACGAAGUCUGGAAAUAGGAUUUUUUACAGCUACGUUCUUGAAAGACCAACAGGAUGCCGAAACAACUAAAAAAACGCAAGUGUGUAUUGACUGACUAUACGAAAAGAAUUUCCAUUUCUCAGGCCAGGAGAAAAUGAAAACUCAGCUUUCUGUUCAAUGUGUAAGAUAUCUUUUACUAUCGCAAGUGGUGGGCGAGCAUCUGUAACUGACCAUAUAGCUUGUAAAAAAACAUAAAAGGGCACAGCUGUCUCAAGCUGGUACUUCAAAAGUAAACACAUUUUUUAAAAAAUUGUUACCUGAUAAAAGUGAGUUACACUUGGCACUUCAAGAAGGAACAUAUGCAUUCCAUACAAUAAAGCAUCAUCAUAGUUUUAGGUCAA